UACGAAGGUCCCAAGCGUUAUCCGGAUUUAUUGGGUUUAAAGGGUGCGUAGGCGGCGCUUUAAGUCAGUGCUGAAGUACUCUAGCUUAACUAGAGGGGUGGCAUUGAUACUGAAGUGCUUGAGUGGAGUCGAGGUAAGGCGGAAUUGACGGUGUAGCGGUGAAAUGUCUAGAUAUCGUCAAGAACACCGAUAGUGUAGACAGCUUACUAGGCUUCAAACUGACGCUGAGGCACGAAAGUGUGGGGAUCAAACAGG
rnacentral:rRNA from 1 species